GAGUUUGAUUAUGGCUCAGAUUGAACGCUGGCGGCAGGCUUAACACAUGCAAGUCGAACGGUAGCAGGAGAAAGCUUGCUUUCUUGCUGACGAGUGGCGGACGGGUGAGUAAUGCUUGGGAAUCUGGCUUAUGGAGGGGGAUAACUACUGGAAACGGUAGCUAAUACCGCGUAAUAUCGAGAGAUUAAAGACUGGGACCUACGGGCCAGUUGCCAUAAGAUGAGCCCAAGUGGGAUUAGGUAGUUGGUGGGGUAAAGGCCUACCAAGCCCGCGAUCUCUAGCUGGUCUGAGAGGAUGACCAGCCACACUGGAACUGAGACACGGUCCAGACUCCUACGGGAGGCAGCAGUGGGGAAUAUUGCACAAUGGGGGGAACCCUGAUGCAGCCAUGCCGCGUGAAUGAAGAAGGCCUUCGGGUUGUAAAGUUCUUUCGGUGGUGAGGAAGGUAUCAACUUUAAUAGAGUUGGUAAUUGAC
rnacentral:rRNA from 1 species